GUUGUAUGGUUAAGUGACUAAGCGUACACGGUGGAUGCCUUGGCAGUUGGAGGCGAUGAAGGACGUAUUAACUUGCGAUAGGCC
rnacentral:rRNA from 1 species